CCAUACUCUUCCUUUAACCAACAGCCUGAAGCCAUCUGUGGCUAACUCUGUCCUAGUAGUCCUUUCCAUUUCCUUCAUCCUCUGAUUGUUUGGCAUGAACUUCAGAAUCUAGAGGAUUCCCAGGGGCUAAAUCCAAUCAGAAGCCAAAGCACAAGUAAAAUGUUAAUAUAGCACAGGAAAUGUGUGGUAAAUGUGCUUCUGGAAAUAAAGGAGUAAACCAAUUAAAACAAAAAUAUGAAGAAUCAAACAGAAGAAGACCCAUCAGGGAAGUCGUAAGAUGAUGGAAGUACAGCAGGACCAGAGAAAAGCCAGAUCAAAACAGGGAUUGCAAGGGAGAAAAUGAAAAUUGAUAUAUUAGCUGGUAGAGUGUACCAUUUGAAAAACGUGACAUAUCUGAGUAGACAGGUGAUAAAAAUAUAAUGGCAAAUACACAGACAACUGAACAUCUGAAAAAAAUAACCCUUUAACUUCUAUAAAAUAUGGAUAUAUAAGGAAAGAAGUAUAAUUAUACAUGCCAUAUUGUAUCAUUCUUCAGUGAACAUU